rnacentral:rRNA from 1 species
AUGCAUGAGUCAUUACCGCAUGACGAAUUUGUUACCUUCGUGGUCACUUUGCGGGCUCUGUGGGGAGCACGUCGGAAGGCAGUGCACGAACAGAUUUACCAAAGCCCAUACUCCAUUCAUGGAGUUGUGCAAUCAUAUCUUGGAGAACUAAAGGCCAUCCAAACAUUUGUACCCCAACCCACUAGAGGUGUCGUGGUGCGCCCAACACAUUGGAUUGCUCCUUCGGUUGGCUUAGUGAAGAUCAAUGUAGAUGCAGCGGUCGGGAGAGGAGGACGUUAUGGAGCAGUUGGGGCGAUCUGUCGAGACCCAACAGGCCAAUUUCUUGGCGCUUCUGCGGUUGUGUUCCGAGUUGUCUCUGAUCCAUCAACACUUGAGUGCAUGGCAGUAAGGGAGGCUCUCGCCUUGGCGGAUGAUUUAUAUGAAAAAAUGAUUCAAGUUUUUUCAUAUUGCAAGGUGGUGGCCGAGGAUAUUCGGGACAGGAACGCCACAGUUUAUGGAGCAAUUAUACAUGAAAUCAUAGCGCAUAAGUAUACUUUUCUUACUUGUAAUAUUAGUCAUGAAUUCAGGAGCUCGAAUGUCGAGACUCACAAGCUCGCGAAGCAUGCUUUAUCCCUACCGGCUGGCCGGCAUGUGUGGUUGGGUCAGUCGGAAGGACUUCCUUUCAUCCGUGUAAACAUUGUGACGGUUGAAUAA